rnacentral:rRNA from 1 species
UACGUAGGAGGCGAGCGUUUGUCCGGAUUUACUGGGCGUAAAGCGCGCGCAGGCGGCACUGUAAGUAAGGUGUGAAAUCUCCCUGCUCAACGGGGAGGGUGCAUUUUAGACUGCAGAGCUAGAGGACGGUAGAGGGGGGUGGAAUUGCUGGUGUAGCGGUGAAAUGCGUAGAGAUCAGCAGGAACACCCGUGGCGAAGGCGGCCCCCUGGGCCGGUACUGACGCUGAGACGCGAAAGCGUGGGGAGCGAACAG